rnacentral:rRNA from 1 species
GACGAACGCUGGCGGCGUGCUUAGCACAUGCAAGUCGAACGGAAAGGCCCUGCUUUUGUGGGGUGCUCGAGUGGCGAACGGGUGAGUAACACGUGAGUAACCUGCCAUUGACUUUGGGAUAACUUCAGGAAACUGGGGCUAAUACCGGAUAGGAGCUCCUGCUGCAUGGUGGGGGUUGGAAAGUUUCGGCGGUUGGGGAUGGACUCGCGGCUUAUCAGCUUGUUGGUGGGGUAGUGGCUUACCAAGGCUUUGACGGGUAGCCGGCCUGAGAGGGUGACCGGCCACAUUGGGACUGAGAUACGGCCCAGACUCCUACGGGAGGCAGCAGUGGGGAAUAUUGCACAAUGGGCGGAAGCCUGAUGCAGCAACGCCGCGUGCGGGAUGACGGCCUUCGGGUUGUAAACCGCUUUCGCCUGUGACGAAGCGUGAGUGACGGUAAUGGGUAAAGAAGCACCGGCUAACUACGUG